rnacentral:rRNA from 1 species
UACGCAGGGGGCUAGCGUUGCUCGGAAUGACUGGGCGUAAAGGGCGCGUAGGCGGGAUGGCAAGUCGGUCGUGAAAUCCCUCGGCUCAACCGAGGAACGUCGAUCGAUACUGCUGUUCUUGAGGAUUGCAGAGGAGACUGGAAUUCCCGGUGUAGCGGUGAAAUGUGUAGAGAUCGGGAGGAACACCGGUGGCGAAGGCGGGUCUCUGGGCAAUUCCUGACGCUGAGGCGCGAAAGCGUGGGGAGCAAACGGG